rnacentral:misc_RNA from 1 species
UUUCCGUAGGUGAACCUGUGGAAGGAUCAUUAAAGAAUUCGGGCUCUCGGGCCCUAUUCUCAACCCUAUGUAUGCUUAACUUUGUUGCUUUGGCGGGUUCGCCCGUCGAAGGACCGAAACUCUUGAAUAAUUGCUGUCUGAGUAAAACUUAAUAGUUAAAACUUUCAACAACGGAUCUCUUGGUUCUGGCAUCGAUGAAGAACGCAGC